UCCAAAGAUGGAAGACACAACAUUUGAAUCGAGCUGGAAAAAAGGAAUGCUCAUGUAAAGAACAUUGAUUGGGUUGGUAUUUUUUGGACGCUCCAUGUGUAAAUAAGACACUGAGACAUCAUGUCCUCAGACCCACAGGGCUGCCACAGAAACACUUCGCCUACAGGCUACAACAAAGGGGGCUCAGACCAAGUCCUCUCCAGCAGCAGGCUUGUCAGCUCUAUUAGCGGCCCCAGGAUCUGAGUCUGUCCUCUGAUCAUCCUGUCCUCUCGUCAGCUGCUGGAAACAUCAACUUCCAUCAUUAAAACAUCAGAGGUGCCGAUGCAAAUACUGGACCAAUGCAGCUCCAGGAAGUGCUGCUCUCUUUGACGAGGAGAAGCAGCUACAUUAUAAGACGGACCUGCCUAGCAUUUCUUAUGUAAUGGGUUUUAAUGGAGUUAAUGACCUGUGCAGUCAAGAUUCAAGUCAGGACAAAUGGGGGAAGAAGUUUUUACAUUGGCUUUCUAAGUCAAAGUAUAGUUUCACUAAUGUACCUCUCAGCCCGCGACCCCCAAAAUUUACCCCCACUGUCCCACAAAGUGAUUUAAUGUGGCUUAAUUUAGCUGGUCUGCAGAAAGUUAGCCUCCCUAUAUGAGCAUGUGGCUACGUUUCCUAUGCCAUUAUGAAUAA